UCCAACUUUGAUUACAGCUAAACAUAAUGUUGAAUUAAAGUUGCUAUCUACAGAUUCAGAACCAAGAAAACUUGUCUAACACAAUUAUUCAUUCACAACAAGAAAACUGAGUUCUAUUGCCUAUUCAUGUAAGGAUUCAACGAAAUUUCAGCUAAAACUUUUAACUAUUUACCACCAAAUAUGAUUGAUUCAGUUGAUAUACAAACUUUAAUAUAGCCAAAUUCAACAUUUAACAAUUGAAAUCACAAUAUAACACCUUAAGGAUUCAACAUUACAUGAAGCUUAUAUACUAAAUACAAUUCUAUAUCUAUUAAUAUUGCGAGGCAGGACAAUGGUUAACAAAAGAGAUAUACGAAUUAAUAGAACAUAGAAACCAAUUACUGAAAAACGAUGACUAAUUACACCAGCCUUAACACACAUGCAUCUUCAUAUCCACUUCACAUUCCAAGAAUUCAAAGGGAUACCUGGAUACAGCAAAGCAAAAACCAAAAAAUGUGUUUGAAAAUCAGCUUAUGGCAACAAGAAAAUAAAAGGCUCAGCAGCAAGGAACAACAGUGAUAAUCAACCAACAACCUCAAUAACCAGCCAUAUUUCAGCUUAGAAAACCAAAAAAUCCCAUGAAAGAUUCACUUCCAAACUUUUAGCCAAAAGAAAAUAAAAGCUCACAACUAGAUGGUUCUUUUUUCAGCAAUAUCUUUUAGCCAUUUUCUCUUUUUGUGUCCUAAAUCUCUACCCUAGAAAUGAGGAAAAUGAGCCUCUUAUAGAAAGGCUUUAGGGCAGCAUAAUCAGAUUUCUUCCUUUACUAUUACCCUUCCCCAAUUCCCUUUUUGUUCAUUUCAUACCCUAAAUUUAAGCCUGUUUGUUAAACCACCCACUUUCCACCUUCCUAGAAGCUUCCCAGAUAGUUAGGAAAGAUUCUUUCUAUU
rnacentral:lncRNA from 1 species